AUCUUUAGGGAAUAUUCUAAGAAUCUUCUAGAACCUUCUAAAAGAAUCUUUAGAGAAUAUUCUAGAAGAAUAUUCGAAGAAUCUUCCAAUGUAUGUCCAUGACAAAAGUACCAUAGACUUUUGUAACCUUCAUUAUAGUAUAAAUAGGAGUCUUCGAAAUCAAUUUUGCUAUCAAUCUCAUUCUUUUUCUUUAAUCUUGACAUAUUUCUUUGUCAAAUUCUUGUGUCCUUGAUAAUUCCUUAAACAACUAUGAGACCCAUUCCUCACUCUCUACAAGACAACAUUACCUUUGUUCUUUUUUAUUC
rnacentral:lncRNA from 1 species